rnacentral:rRNA from 1 species
GGGGAAUAUUGGACAAUGGGGGCAACCCUGAUCCAGCAAUGCCGCGUGAAUGAUGAAGGCCUUAGGGUUGUAAAGUUCUUUUAUUGAUGACGAUAAUGACGGUAAUCAAUGAAUAAGCACCGGCUAACUUCGUGCCAGCAGCCGCGGUAAUACGAAGGGUGCUAGCGUUGUUCGGAAUGACUGGGCGUAAAGGGCGCGUAGGCGGCCAGAUGCGUCUGAUGUGAGAUCCCUGGGCUUAACCUAGGAACUGCAUUGGAUACGGUCUGGCUAGAGUCCGCAAGAGGAAGAUGGAAUUGUGCGUGUAGAGGUGAAAUUCGUAGAUAUGCACAAGAACACCGGUGGCGAAGGCGAUCUUCUGGAGCGGUACUGACGCCAAGGCGCGAAAGCGUGGGGAGCAAAC